rnacentral:rRNA from 1 species
UACGGAGGGGGCAAGCGUUGUUCGGAAUUAUUGGGCGUAAAGGGCGCGUAGGCGGCCUGUCAAGUCGGACGUGAAAUCCCUCGGCUCAACCGAGGAAUUGCGUUCGAUACUGAUGGGCUAGAGUCCGGGAGGGGAUGGUGGAAUUCCCAGUGUAGCGGUGAAAUGCGUAGAUAUUGGGAAGAACACCGGUGGCGAAGGCGGCCAUCUGGACCGGUACUGACGCUGAGGCGCGAAAGCUAGGGGAGCGAAUGGG